GGUACAAUGUGUGUUUGUUUUUCUUGACUAAGUCAAUCCAGCUCACAUCGUCCAGUAUUGCUGCAACAUUUGGUUUCACAGCAGAUGUGGCAGGUCACACAACUCAGACUUUGAGGCUCCUCUAAUAUUGGUUUAAAGGAAUUCAAACUUUUCUAUGCUGGUCUGCUACAAUUAGACUGGAAGGUGUGGUGAGGCUGCACGUGUGCUACAGUCUGUGCAGCAAAGGUUCUUCCACAGUGCUAUUGGAUAGAAAGCACCAGGAUAUUGACUCAGCAACAAAGAAGGAAAAGCAAUAUAUUUCAAUUUAAGCCUUGCCUGUUAAUGAUAUUGUUUGUAACACAGACAUUAAAUCCUUGCCGGACUGGAACUGA